rnacentral:rRNA from 1 species
UGAGGGAAUAUUUGGGUCAAUGGGCGAGAGCCUGAACCAGCCAAGUCGCGUGAGGGAUGACGGCCCUACGGGUUGUAAACCUCUUUUAUAAGGGAAUAAAGGACAUCACGUGUGGUGUUUUGCAUGUACCUUAUGAAUAAGCAUCGGCUAACUCCGUGCCAGCAGCCGCGGUAAUACGGAGGAUGCGAGCGUUAUCCGGAUUCAUUGGGUUUAAAGGGUGCGUAGGUUGCCGAUUAAGUCAGCGGUGAAAGUCAGUGGCUCAACCAUUGAACUGCCGUUGAAACUGGUUGGCUUGAGUACGUACGGGGCAGGCGGAAUGCGUGGUGUAGCGGUGAAAUGCAUAGAUAUGACGCAGAACUCCGAUUGCGAAGGCAGCUUUCCAG